rnacentral:tRNA from 2 species
GCGGGAUUAGUUCAGCGGUAGAACGUCUGCUUUCCAAGCAGAAUGUCAGGGGUUCGAUCCCCCUAUCCCGCUCCA